rnacentral:tRNA from 1 species
GGGAAGGUAGCUCAGUGGUAAAGUGCUUGCCUUGCAUGCAUGAGGCCCUGGGUUCAAUUCCUCAGCACCA